GGUUAAGCGACUAAGCGUACACGGUGGAUGCCCUGGCAGUCAGAGGCGAUGAAGGACGUGCUAAUCUGCGAUAAGCGUCGGUAAGGUGAUAUGAACCGUUAUAACCGGCGAUUUCCGAAUGGGGAAACCCAGUGUGAUUCGUCACACUAUCAUUAACUGAAUCCAUAGGUUAAUGAGGCGAACCGGGGGAACUGAAACAUCUAAGUACCCCGAGGAAAAGAAAUCAACCGAGAUUCCCCCAGUAGCGGCGAGCGGACGGGGAGCAGCCCAGAGCCUGAAUCAGUGUGUGUGUUAGUGGAAGCGUCUGGAAAGGCGUGCGAUACAGGGUGACAGCCCCGUACACAAAAAUGCACAUAUUGUGAGCUUGAUGAGUAGGGCGGGACACGUGGUAUCCUGUCUGAAUAUGGGGGGACCAUCCUCCAAGGCUAAAUACUCCUGACUGACCGAUAGUGAACCAGUACCGUGAGGGAAAGGCGAAAAGAACCCCGGCGAGGGGAGUGAAAAAGAACCUGAAACCGUGUACGUACAAGCAGUGGGAGCACGCUUAGGCGUGUGACUGCGUACCUUUUGUAUAAUGGGUCAGCGACUUAUAUUCUGUAGCAAGGUUAACCGAAUAGGGGAGCCGAAGGGAAACCGAGUCUUAACUGGGCGUUAAGUUGCAGGGUAUAGACCCGAAACCCGGUGAUCUAGCCAUGGGCAGGUUGAAGGUUGGGUAACACUAACUGGAGGACCGAACCGACUAAUGUUGAAAAAUUAGCGGAUGACUUGUGGCUGGGGGUGAAAGGCCAAUCAAACCGGGAGAUAGCUGGUUCUCCCCGAAAGCUAUUUAGGUAGCGCCUCGUGAAUUCAUCUCCGGGGGUAGAGCACUGUUUCGGCAAGGGGGUCAUCCCGACUUACCAACCCGAUGCAAACUGCGAAUACCGGAGAAUGUUAUCACGGGAGACACACGGCGGGUGCUAACGUCCGUCGUGAAGAGGGAAACAACCCAGACCGCCAGCUAAGGUCCCAAAGUCAUGGUUAAGUGGGAAACGAUGUGGGAAGGCCCAGACAGCCAGGAUGUUGGCUUAGAAGCAGCCAUCAUUUAAAGAAAGCGUAAUAGCUCACUGGUCGAGUCGGCCUGCGCGGAAGAUGUAACGGGGCUAAACCAUGCACCGAAGCUGCGGCAGCGACGCUUAUGCGUUGUUGGGUAGGGGAGCGUUCUGUAAGCCUGCGAAGGUGUGCUGUGAGGCAUGCUGGAGGUAUCAGAAGUGCGAAUGCUGACAUAAGUAACGAUAAAGCGGGUGAAAAGCCCGCUCGCCGGAAGACCAAGGGUUCCUGUCCAACGUUAAUCGGGGCAGGGUGAGUCGACCCCUAAGGCGAGGCCGAAAGGCGUAGUCGAUGGGAAACAGGUUAAUAUUCCUGUACUUGGUAUUACUGCGAAGGGGGGACGGAGAAGGCUAUGUUGGCCGGGCGACGGUUGUCCCGGUUUAAGCGUGUAGGCUGGUUUUCCAGGCAAAUCCGGAAAAUCAAGGCUGAGGCGUGAUGACGAGGCACUACGGUGCUGAAGCAACAAAUGCCCUGCUUCCAGGAAAAGCCUCUAAGCAUCAGGUAACAUCAAAUCGUACCCCAAACCGACACAGGUGGUCAGGUAGAGAAUACCAAGGCGCUUGAGAGAACUCGGGUGAAGGAACUAGGCAAAAUGGUGCCGUAACUUCGGGAGAAGGCACGCUGAUAUGUAGGUGAAGUCCCUUGCGGAUGGAGCUGAAAUCAGUCGAAGAUACCAGCUGGCUGCAACUGUUUAUUAAAAACACAGCACUGUGCAAACACGAAAGUGGACGUAUACGGUGUGACGCCUGCCCGGUGCCGGAAGGUUAAUUGAUGGGGUCAGCGCAAGCGAAGCUCUUGAUCGAAGCCCCGGUAAACGGCGGCCGUAACUAUAACGGUCCUAAGGUAGCGAAAUUCCUUGUCGGGUAAGUUCCGACCUGCACGAAUGGCGUAAUGAUGGCCAGGCUGUCUCCACCCGAGACUCAGUGAAAUUGAACUCGCUGUGAAGAUGCAGUGUACCCGCGGCAAGACGGAAAGACCCCGUGAACCUUUACUAUAGCUUGACACUGAACAUUGAGCCUUGAUGUGUAGGAUAGGUGGGAGGCUUUGAAGUGUGGACGCCAGUCUGCAUGGAGCCGGCCUUGAAAUACCACCCUUUAAUGUUUGAUGUUCUAACGUGGACCCGUGAUCCGGGUUGCGGACAGUGUCUGGUGGGUAGUUUGACUGGGGCGGUCUCCUCCUAAAGAGUAACGGAGGAGCACGAAGGUUGGCUAAUCCUGGUCGGACAUCAGGAGGUUAGUGCAAUGGCAUAAGCCAGCUUGACUGCGAGCGUGACGGCGCGAGCAGGUGCGAAAGCAGGUCAUAGUGAUCCGGUGGUUCUGAAUGGAAGGGCCAUCGCUCAACGGAUAAAAGGUACUCCGGGGAUAACAGGCUGAUACCGCCCAAGAGUUCAUAUCGACGGCGGUGUUUGGCACCUCGAUGUCGGCUCAUCACAUCCUGGGGCUGAAGUAGGUCCCAAGGGUAUGGCUGUUCGCCAUUUAAAGUGGUACGCGAGCUGGGUUUAGAACGUCGUGAGACAGUUCGGUCCCUAUCUGCCGUGGGCGCUGGAGAACUGAGGGGGGCUGCUCCUAGUACGAGAGGACCGGAGUGGACGCAUCACUGGUGUUCGGGUUGUCAUGCCAAUGGCACUGCCCGGUAGCUAAAUGCGGAAGAGAUAAGUGCUGAAAGCAUCUAAGCACGAAACUUGCCCCGAGAUGAGUUCUCCCUGACCCUUUAAGGGUCCUGAAGGAACGUUGAAGACGACGACGUUGAUAGGCCGGGUGUGUAAGCGCAGCGAUGCGUUGAGCUAACCGGUACUAAUGAACCGUGAGGCUUAACCUU
rnacentral:rRNA from 1 species